CCGCCACCAUGGCCUCCCAAAUCAUCACCCCAUCUCUUCUGUGCCGCUGUGCCAUAUCUAUGUUCAAAAGUUAUUUAAAAAACUAUAAUAAUUUUAAAAUACUUUUUGAUACAAUUUAAAUUUACUAGUAAACUUGCUAUAGGAUUACUAUGACAUUUACUACAGUAUUUGAAUUGUUUAAGAGAAAAAUAUUUUUAUUCUGAAAGAUCAUAGAAAUAGUAUAUAGUAAGAAUGAUUUUGAUGAAAUUCUAUUUAUGUUUUUAGUAAAAAUAAUAAAAUGUGCACUUACGGAAUUUGUUGCUGAGACUUCUGUUCUUGCAGUUGAUUCUGAUCCACUGCCUUGCUCGCCACAAGUGCGGCUUGCAGUAGCACUACUAGUGCAGCCUGUGAACAACGUAAUUGCAGAUAUUACAGAAUUUCUCUAUAAGUAACAUACUAGCAAAUGUCACUAUUUAACGCUGUCUGCCUUAACUAUUUUUGAGUUCCAGAUAUAAUCACGUUUAAAUCUUGAUAAGAAAACUGAAACAUACAAUACAAGACACGAGGAAAUUUCGAUUUUUUUAAUGAUAAAUAACGUGGAGCGUCUAACGUUGGCCCAAUUGUUAAAUGGUAAUCAACAUUACUUUACCAGAAACUUCAGAAGUACGAUGAUCUUAAUAGUCAAGCCGAUCACCAUUCUUCAAUCAUGACACUCGCUACUUACUCCAGAUAUGACGAAUCUCAAAGACAUCACCGAUUAUUUCGCUUGCACCCUUGCUACGAUGAAAUCGUUCGAGAACAUCCACCUUACUCAGAUGCGAUAGUUAAAAGAUUCACGAUUUGUAGAUAAGAUCGAGAAACUUAAUCGAAACGAAUAUUUUGAAAGAAAAACUAACCACGCAUCCCGGGCGAAUCCUCAUAUUUUUCGCAAUGCCGCCCGUCGGGCUCGGGCCGCGUACUCUUGUUCCCUAAGUGCAGGAAAACUGCUAUCGUCGGAAGGUGACUCGUGGACGUGGUGCGCCUGGGCCAGGUGGUGAAGGUGGUGGUAAAAUCGUCCUGGUGGAGGAGGCAGUCCACAUAGUCAGAGGAAAUCGAGACGCGAUGGUGGUGGGCUCCGAGGGGACGACGUUACGGAAAGCCCGUAACUUGACUACCUAGCGAUGGAACCGAUUUUAUUCUUUUCUGUUGGCUGACCACAGUUUGUUACAUGAAAGUACUAUCAUGUCCUUGUAAGAUUUUCCUUUUUUGUGGAUCUAUAUUUACAAUAUUUCAAAUUUCAAUGCUAUUUCCUUCCUUAAACUAAGUAGUCGUUUUGGAGAUAAUCAGGAGGAAAACGUAAUUUAUAUAUUAUAUUAUGUAUU